rnacentral:rRNA from 1 species
GACGAACGCUGGCGGCGUGCUUAACACAUGCAAGUCGAACGGAAAGGCCCUGCUUUUGUGGGGUGCUCGAGUGGCGAACGGGUGAGUAACACGUGAGUAACCUGCCCUUGACUUUGGGAUAACUUCAGGAAACUGGGGCUAAUACCGGAUAGGAGCUCCUGCUGCAUGGUGGGGGUUGGAAAGUUUCGGCGGUUGGGGAUGGACUCGCGGCUUAUCAGCUUGUUGGUGGGGUAGUGGCUUACCAAGGCUUUGACGGGUAGCCGGCCCGAGAGGGUGACCGGCCACAUUGGGACUGAGAUACGGCCCAGACUCCUACGGGAGGCAGCAGUGGGGAAUAUUGCACAAUGGGCGGAAGCCUGAUGCAGCAACGCCGCGUGCGGGAUGACGGCCUUCGGGUUGUAAACCGCUUUCGCCUGUGACGAAGCGUGAGUGACGGUAAUGGGCAAAGAAGCACCGGCUAACUACGUG